rnacentral:rRNA from 1 species
UACGUAGGGCGCAAGCGUUAUCCGGAAUUAUUGGGCGUAAAGAGCUCGUAGGCGGUCUGCCACGUCCGCUGUGAAAACCUAGGGCUUAACCCUGGGCUUGCAGUAGAUACGGGCAGACUAGAGGUAGGUAGGGGAGAAUGGAAUUCCCGGUGUAGCGGUGAAAUGCGUAGAUAUCUGGAGGAACACCGGUGGCGAAGGCGACAUCCUGGACCGGUAUUGACGCUGAGUGAGCGAAAGCCAGGGGAGCAAACAGG